UACUGAGACUAGGAUACUGGGAUACUGCUGUGUGCAUUGCAGCCACUGCAGCAUCUCACAUCUCCUGCCAGCCCAGGCAUUUCUGGGUCUAGGAUCUUAGUGUCUGCCUUGGUGCAUCUUCAGAACUUGUGAAGCUCGGACCAAGCUUGUGGCCAGAACGCAAAAGGGUGGGAGAAAGGUGUCCUUCUGAACAUACUGGGCAUGCACUUAAAAGCCUGGAACACAGGUGCUGACAAGCCUGAGAAGCAGGAU
rnacentral:lncRNA from 1 species